UACGUAGGCAGCGAGCGUUGUUCGGAUUUACUGGGCGUAAAGAGUGCGUAGGCGGUGCCCUAAGUCUGGUGUGGAAUCUCCCGGCUCAACCGGGAGGGUGCGCCGGAAACUGGGGUGCUCGAGUGUGGGAGAGGCAGGCGGAAUUCCCGGUGUAGCGGUGAAAUGCGUAGAUAUCAAGAGGAACACCUGAGGUGAAGACGGGUUGCUGGGCCGACACUGACGCUGAUGCGCGAAAGCCAGGGGAGCAAACGGG
rnacentral:rRNA from 1 species